rnacentral:lncRNA from 1 species
CUAGGACUUGGUAACAGGUUGAGAGCGGCCACUUGGCCGGGGGCGCCGGCUUCGGAGGCGGGAGGGAGGUGGAGGAAGGGAAGGCAGCUGCAGGGCCGACCUGCGGGGUGGGCGUGAGGCCGGGGGAUUGGGGCCGCAGGGGUUCGGCCUGGAGGAGCGGCGUGGGGGCGCCGGGGCCCUGAUUCCAUCCUGGGCGGGUCGGCCCCGCAGCCGCUGCGCUCGGAACCCCCUAGGCGCCCCGCAGUACCCGGCGUCCUUCCUGCCUCCUCCUCGCCCCUGUCCUCCGUCCGAGCCCCAGUCCCGCCGACCCUGCCGGCGCCUCCGCCCUCCCGCCCUCCCGCCCUCGGUUUCCCACGACCUCGGCGCGACGCGCGCGGGAUCCAGUGGAGACUGCUUUCCCAUAGGCCGCCAUCCAGGGCGGGGAAGGGAGCGGACCCUCCCGGCUCCAGGUGCCUGGGCCCCCGGCGGCCUGCGGAGGCCUCGCCCCACGCCACCCGCCCACUGGCCUCGUCUUCGCGCGGGGAGAAAAGCAGCCUGAUUCGGAGGAACGGGUUGCUUGGGGCGGCUCCCAGCUCGAGUUGUGGGCCCCGCCGCGGGUGCCCUUCGGAAACGCGCUGACACCAGGCGAAGCCGCCUCUGCCCGGACGCAGCCCGACACUUGGCCCGCGGGGUUCCCCGGGACGCCUGAGAGUAAUGGGCGCGAGGGGGAAAGCCGAACGGCCUCCCUGUGCCCGGCGCAGGCGGUGCCCCCUAGCUGGGUUCGCCGCGGCGGCGCUGCGAGCCCCCGACACUGAGGACUUUUGGUCCAACAGUCCGACGGGGCCCGGUGCGCCGUUCCCUCCGCCCUCUCCCCGCUCCCCGGCCCGCGCGUCUUGGAGGGUGGGUGAAUUGUCGGAAGCACUCUACGCCUGGCCAACCCAAACCAGGAACCUCCGCACCAAACAGCCCACGUUGCUGCUGCUCUGGGGUUUUAACGGCCAAGGGAGACUGGAGAAGGGGUGUUCUGCCUUCCCAUUCUCUUAGGCCCGUCCACUCCCCAUCCCCACAGUUUGGAAGUGGCCUUUUCUGAGGACUCCAGCGCAAAGCAUGUUUCUCCUUUUGAGCUGCGGAAGCCUUGCUUGUUCCCGCCAUUGGGAGGGCAUUCCAUCAUCUGCAGCUGCCUUCCUCGGUGGGCCUUGUCCCUUAGCGUCCACCUAGGGGACAUUCUAAGCUUCUUGAGACCUGCUUGUCCACCCCAACAUGUCUCAGCAUAUGGCUGUGCCCUAAGGGGUCUUUGAGGGCAUUUUAGGAGGUGAGCGGCGCCCCUACCUGGGCUCCGCGGGGCCGAUUCGGUUUGCCCUUUGCUGGCAUGUCAGUGAAUUAACUGCUGUCCUUGGGAUGACCUGCCCUAUGAUUUGGCCUCUGGAGCAUCCCGGGUGUGUAUUUCAGAACUCCUCCCAUCUUAUCCACCUGCUGAAGGCCUGGCCCCCUGAUAUGGUUUGGCUCUGUUUCCCCACCCAAAUCUCACCUUGAAUUUUAAUAAUCCCCACGUGUCAUGGGCGGGACCAGGUGGAGGUAAUUGAAUCAUGGAGGUGGUUUCCUGAACGCUGCUCUCGUGACAGUGAGUUCACAAGAUUUUUUUUUUUAACGGAGUAUCACUCUGUCACUCAGGCUGGAGUGCAGUGGCGCGAUCUUGGUUCACUGCAACCUCUGCCUCCCGGGUUCAAGAGAUUCUCCUGCCUCAGCCUCCCGAGUAGCUGGGAUUACAGGUGCGCGCCAUCACGCCCGGCUAAUGUGUAUUUUUAGUAGAGAAAGGGUUUCACCAUGUUGGUUAGGCUGGUCUGGAACUCCUGACCUUGUGAUCUGCCUGCCUCGGCCUCCCAAAGUGCUGGGAUUACACGCGUGAGCCACUGUGCCCAGCCGAUCUGAUGCUUUUAUAAAGGGCUUUCCCCGUCCCCCUUCCUCUCUCUCACCACCCUGUGAGAAAGGUGCCUUUCUUCCCCCUUCACGUGAACUGCCUCCAUGAUUGUAAGCUUCCUGAGGCCUCCCCAGCUAUAAGGAACUGUGAGCCAAUUAAACUGCUUUAUAAAUUAACCCAGGUAUUUCUCGGGUAUUUCUUCAUAGCAGCGUGAGAAUGGACUGAUACACCCCCAAUGUGGAGUAGGGGAAGCUGAGGGAGUUAGGAGGUCCCAGCAAGGUGAAGGUGUGAUGGGGUCUUGGGACAGUGAGAGUGCUGCCUCAGGCAACAGUGGGCAGGUCAUUGAGGCUCCAUUGAGCUUGGUGAGCAGGAAGCUGAGAGAGGGAGCUGUCGAUUCAGGAGUCAGGGGUGACAUGGAAGGAACCUAGGGCUUUGCCAGGCACAGGUGAAGGAAGGCCACUUAGGUACUGGCAGUGGGAAGAGAGGGCAGGGAGUGGUGGACGGAGAGGAAGAGAAAGCUGAACACUGGAGCACAAUGCGGGUGCUGGGAGGCAAGCAGAGGGGGCUGGGGGCUUCUCAUAUGGUGCAUCCUGGCAUUUAUAUUUUGAAAAAUAAUUGUUUUGUUCCCAUUAGUGCUUUUAUAAUAGUUUUAGGAAAGAAGAGAAAAUAUGAAUUAGCUAUUAUGAGGCUUCUUUUGAAGUUUCUUUCAGUUCAGAAACAUAUCCCACUUUACAAAAAAAUUAAGAAAAUUCAAAGUUAAAAAAUGUAGGGAGGCCAAUAAUUUUAGUUGCCAGACAUUUUAGUCUGACAAGACAACUCAUUGGAGUUUCCUUAGAGACGUAUUAGAAAUUCAGAGCUGCACACGCAUUUUUCCCCCUGCCAGAUAAACUGAAACAACAUAAAGUGAGUUUUAGUUAUUUCUUUCAACGAGACUGCGAGGCCUAUUUAGCUAACGAAAAAGAUAUCUGUAGAAAGAAGCAUUCUUGAUUCUUAUCUACAAGACAGAGCAGCAAAAAACCAAGAAUGUCAGAUGAGUAUUAUCUCUGUCCAUGGCAGAAAGGUAUCAUGUUGGUAUAAUUAAGAUUGGUCUUAAUGGAAACUUAGGCAAUAAAUAUAAACAUCAUAGUUUAACCUGCAGCAAAGCAAAUAAAAUACAUGAAAUAUAAUAGAAAAACAAUGCAGGCAAAGGCAGGCAGAUUGCUUGAGUCCAGAAGUUCGAGACCAGACCUGGGCAACAUGGCGAAACCCUGUCUCUAAAAAAAAAAAAAAAAAUGCAAAAAUUAGCCGGGCAGGGUGGUGCACAUCUGUGGUCCCAGCUACUUGGGAGGCUGAGGUGGGAAGAUCCCUUGAUCCUGGGAGGUCGAGGCUGCAGUGAGCUAUGAUUGCGCCAUUGCACUCCAACCUAGGUGACAGAGUGAGACUCUGUCUUACAAAAAAAGAAAAACAAUGCUAUGUGUGAAUUUUUUUCCAAUCUUUUAAUAAGGAAAAUGUUUUUUUCAAAAUAAUGGCUUAUAUGGAGUGUCAACAUAAAAACAAUAUAAUUUCAAAUUGAUAAGUAAAAUAUAGUCAGCAAUCUCACAUACAUCAAAAUUUGGUAUAUAACACACAUUCUGGAGAGGUGUUGCUUUUGGUCUUACUUUUUUUCCAUUUUUAAAAUUGUAAAACACAUACAAAAUUUAGCAUUUUAAUGACUUUUAAGUGUACACUUCAGUGUCAUUAAAUUCACAUUGCUGUGCAACCAUCACGACCAUCCAUCUUCAGGCCACUUUGCAUCCUGUGUAACAGAAACUCUACACCCAUUAAUAACUCCCCUUUCUCCCCUCCCUCCAGCGUCUAGCAACCACCAUUCUACUUUGUCUCUAUGAAUCUGACUAAUCUAGGUACUUUAUAUAAGUGGAAUCAUACAGUAUUUGUCCUUCUGUGUCUGAUUUAUUUCACUUUGCAUACCGUCCUCAAGAUUCAUCUAUGUUGUAGCACGUGUCCGAAUUUCCUUUCAAGGCUGAAUAAUAUUCCUGUGUGUGUAAUAUUUUGCUUAUUCAUCGAUAGGUACUUGGAAUGCUUUCUUCGUGUUGUAGCCAUUGUGAAUAAUGCCACUAUGAACACAGAUGUUCAAAUAUGCGUGGACAUUUUUAUAGGAAUGUAACAACAACAAAAAGCACACAGUGGGCUCCAUCAUGAGCUCAGCUGCAUACAGAGAUGGGGGGCGCUGGAAGUCGUGGUGGGGCAACUGAAGCACCUCUCUGGAAAUACUGUGUCCCAGGGGGACAGAAGGUCAGGCAGGUGGGUCCUGCCCAGGGACAAACCUGACAAUCACUGGCACAUCAGAAUUCCUGUGAAACUGCAAAAACAAAAAGGGUGCCUGUGCUGAGCCCUAGACCCCCUGAUUCAGUCUCUUGAUGAGGACCCUGGACAUGUGCAUGCUUAAAAGCCUCUCCGGAGGUUCUGACUUGCUACCCUUGGGGCUGGGAACCACACAGCCUGGGACUUGGGAAGGAAGGGCGAAUCUGUCUUUCCUCCUAGGGGCAGAGAGUAACUAUCAGAUGCACUGUUUUCCUAGAGAAACCCUGCAAGACCCUGAGGCAAAAUAGCUCUCCUGGGGUGGCCCUUUAGCCAAGCAAAAGUGAGAUGUUCUUCCCUCCUGCAACAAAUACCAAGUGGAGCCAGCCGUACAUGCCACAGUGUACAGGGGCUGUCACCAAGAGGAAAGUGGCUUAUGAACCAUCCCAGUAAGGCCUCCUAGAAGCACUGGGCAGAGGAUGCUUUGCAAUCUCUGGUGGAAGAUGAAACCAGAAACAAGUCUGUAUCCGUGAUGAUGGAAUGAGCAGCAGGCAAGGAGCCUAGAAAGUGAUGGGCACUCUUGCUCUUUGAAGGUGUGUGCCUGUCAUUGGGGCUGACAGGUUCAGUGACAUCCUCGGUGAGGCCUAGAUCCUAGAUCCACUGUUAGCUGGAUUUGUGACAUAAAAAUCCUUCACAUGCAAACAAACAAACAAACAAACACACAAAAAAACCUUUAAGGCAGGCAGUGAUCCCCAUUCCUUUGGAUUUUAUAGACCAGUAAGUGUCAAAUAAAACUUCUGGGACUGACAUAUGAUUACCAACUUUUAUGUAAGGACAAUGAAAAAGACCAAAAGGUAUGAUCUACCAUCAUUUCAAAAAAGAGGGCUAUUUUGAUAUCAUAAAAGAAGGAUAACUUCAGAAUUUAAAAGCGUACACAUUGAACUUUAAUUAGAAAAUAACCGUGUAUUUCCUGUGGCUUUCUCAUUUUCUGUGGAAGGAUGAAAAGUUUAUCAUCAUCUCUGCAAACUAAGGCUUCUUUGCCUUGAAUACUUAGGGGCAGCUGCACCAUUUGCAGAUGUUAUUUAUUUCCUUGAAGAGGUGUUUUCAGGGCUGUAAGAGAACCCUGAGGAAUUCAAGUGCAAAAAUCUCUUGGUAUCUUGCCUCAGUUUCCAAUAUUAAUAGCUGUGUGGUGAGUGUUCAGCCAGAAACGGUAUCAUUGCUUAAGUAAAAAAGAUUGUGGCAAGUAGCAUCAUGGAAACAAAGUUGAAAGGUUUUCUUAGAAAUGAUCUCAUCUCUGUGGUUUUCAAAUUAGUGCUCCAUGGAGCCACAGUGGUGUUGCUUGAAGCAACAGACUUGCAUUUUAAUUGUUUUACUAGUUAAGUUUCUGAUUAAGAUACAGUUCAGUUGCUUUAAGAAAAUGGCUGACCACCACUGAUCUAAUCCAUCACCAAUUUAAAGGGGAAACUAAGGCUAAAAGGAGGUAAGGGAUUUGCUUGAGGCCACCCAUUUAGUUAGCAGAACUUGGUGACACAUCACCAGUGGAGUGGGGGUAGGAAGGAUCUUGUCAAACCUUCCUAGUGUCUGUUCUCAGGUCAUCAAUGGUUGUACCAAAUCUUUCCAUCACUCCAUUGCAGGGAGUCCACUCCACCUGACAGUUUCCGUUCUGAAACAGGCUCCUUUUCAUACUGGACUCUGCAUUCCACCUGACACACUUUCCUACAUAAUAGUGAUAAAUAUUUCACUGACAACUGUUGGAAACUAAUUUUUAAACUCCAGUUCUGCAUUUUUGCUCCCAUUUUGACUACUAUUGAUAAAAGUUUCCUUUUUUGAGAUGGAGUCUUGCUCUGUCACCCAGGCUGGGGUGCAGGGGCACAAUCCUGGCUCACUGCAAGCUCUGCCUCCCAGGUUCACGCCAUUCUCCUGCCUCAGCCUCCCGAGUAGCUGGGACUACAGGCGCCCACCACCACGCCUGGCUAAUUUUUGUAUUUUUUUUUUUUUUAGUAGAGACGGGGUUUCACCGCGUUAGCCAGGAUAGUCUCGAUCUCAUGACCUUGUGAUCCGCCUGCCUCGGCCUCCCAAAGUGCUGGGAUUACAGGCGUGAGCCACUGUGCCCGGCCUAAAAGUUUCUUUAAUAGCAUUUAUUGGCUGGGCAUGGUGGCUCACACCUGUAAUCCCAGCACUUUGGGAGGACAAGGCAGGUGGAUCGCUUGCAGCCAGGAGAUUGAGACCAGCCUGGCCAACAUGGUGAAACCCCAUCCCUACUAAAAACACAAAAAAAUUAGCUGGGCGUGGUGGCACGCACCUGUAGUCCCAGCUACUCGGGAGGCUGAGGCAGGAGAAUUGCUUGACUCGGGGGGCGGAGGCUGCAGUGAGCCAAGAUCGAGCCACUGCACUCCAGCCUGGCGACAGAGUGAGACUCCGUCUCAAAAAAAAAAAAAAAUGUUUAGCUGAGUGUGGUGGUACACACCUGUAAUCCUAGCUACUCAGGAGGCUGAGGCAUAAGAGUUGUUUGGGAGGGAGGUGGAGGUUGCAGUGAGCCAAGAUCAUGCCACUGUACUCCAGCCUGGGUGACAGAGUGAGACUCAAUCUCAAAAAAAAAAAAAAAAAAAAAAAAACUGUACAUAUAUGAAGACUAUAGAGCUAAUAUUUAUAUGAAUAUCAUAAUUUACAAGGUAUUAAAAUGUUUGAACUACAUUGUCUUGUAUAUAAACUGAAAUGAAGUGGUAUCUACUUACUGGAGUUCCUCAGAUAGCUGAUCACAUUGUAGGCUGAAAACAUCUACAAGUCAAGUCUAUCAAGGACCAUAUCAUGCACUCAUUGUGUAGAAGGCCCCUCAAUGGCAAAACAUACCAUCUGGUAAGUCUGGACACAACUCAGCUGCACAGAGCAAACAAAUGACGAACUCAUAUAAUUUAAAACAGCGUUUUCACACUGUGGAUCUUAACCAUGGGCCAUGAAAUUCAAUUCAGUGGGUUGUGAGAGGAUUAACACACACACAAACCCACUGCCCUACCAAACACAAUCCUAGAAGAGAAAAAUGUCAAAGUAUGUUACAUGGCUUAUGAGUAAAUAUUUCAUAAACAUUUUAUUCCAAUCAUAUAUGUACGAACACAUAUGUACUGAGUCAUGACAUAAAUUUUACAAUUCUCUAGGGCAAAACAUUGCUCUAAAGAAAAGCAUACUUGGCCGAUCAGUCCCUUGAGAAGACUUUUGUUUUUGAUUUUUUGUUCACUUCUGAGCAAUGACUCUACAUCCUGAGUACACGGAAGCCCUCUCUCCUCAACUUGAUAGCAGUGCUCUUUAGCACAGCCAGUUCCCGGCUCAGGCUGUUUUCUGGAGGGAUGUGUCCUCCUCUUGCAGCCCUGUGAACUAACUGAAGGACAGCUGCAGCGGUGCAUCUGAACCUGCAGCGGAGGCAGCUCAGGUCCUGCCUACAGCAUGCACAUGUGAUGCCAGGGGCUUUCCACCAUGAUUUUUCACUGACAUGAUUUCCUUUCAUUCACCGGUAGCUCUGCCUUACCUGUAGAGCUCAAGCUCCUAGCACAGAACACAGGGGCUGAGUAAAGGCUUCUAAAUACAUGCAUUCAACAAUAAGCACAUUCAUUUUGCUAUAAACCAUAAAUAUUACACUCAAAAUAUAACAGUUUCUAACAAAAUAAAAAGUUUACCCAUUUCUUCAUACUUAAGAACUACAAAAGUACUAUACAAACCUUUAUUUACAUUAAAUCACAAUAGGUACAUAAAAAGUUGAGGCACUGGUAUCUGUGGCUAAUGGUAGUAAUCACAGCUCAUAUAGUAAAGUGUAUAACAUUAACCUUUUAAUUUUGAGCUGUUGCAAAAUUACCAUUUUAAUAUUAUAUAUACCAUAUAUUCAGUACCAAUUAUGACUUUUUUCUAAAAUAAUAAUAGAACAUGAUGCCCAGGGAAAAAGAAAAUACUUAAUAACUUUCCCAAGUGCUAGUAAAAAACACAUUGGUAUACACCUGAUUUGAGGGGCAGACAUGAUUCAGCCUAUGAGCCAUUAGGAGAGCGAAGCAAAGCUUUUUUAAACUGGAAGGACACUCAUGCUGAUUCGGUACAGACUCUUCAUCUUUCAUACUGGGAAACAAUGCUCACCGGGGCAAGUGUCACAUCAUUAUGUAAUAUAGUAAGAAAGAUGUCCCAGGUCUCCUAUUAACAAACCUAGAAUCUUUUCUAAUUCAUAACAGAGGUUUAUACUAUAAAUACAAUCAUAUUCUUGAAAGAUCAAAUCAAAUAUCAAGAAAAACAGAUCCAUGACAAUACUUUAGACUUCAAAAAAUCCUAAAGCAAUAAUUUAAUAAAAAUAUAUGUCAACAACUGUGUUCAAGAUAAUAGAAUCAGUGUGGAAUCCAGUGCCGUAAACAGUGAUGGCAGCAGUUUACUGGUGCAGUAAUUCAUUUAUAUGCUUAUGUGGUACUCUGUGUAUUGGUUGCGUUUUCAUCUGUAUCACUUGGGCUAAAUUUCUUCCAUAAAAAUUUCUCAUUUGAUUUCCAAAGAGAAGUUGCUGGCUCUUCUCUCCUUUUAAAGGGUGCUGCUAGAGGUGCUUUUUCACACAGAGUCUCUAUUACUGCCAAGUCUGUGAGUUUACUAAGACUCUCAUCAUUCUGCUCAUUCAAGAUGUCCCAGAAAUCUUUUGGUCUCUGUUUUGCUUUUUCCAUGGGCCCUGAAAGAACUUUCUUUGGCAGUUGUGUGGGACUGUUCCCAUGACUUUUAAAAAGGUCAUCAAGAAUAGAGGUAUCACCAAGUAAGCUUAUCACAGAAGUAUUUUCCAGCACUGGAUUUUCUAUCUUUUUGUUUUCCAAUUUGAGAAGGGGUUCUUUUCUUGAAAUGCCCGUUCUUGUGAGGUCCUGUUGGUCUUUCAUGGUAUUUUCUAACCUUCUCUCACGUGUUUCAGACUCACUGUUCAGAGAACGGGAUGUCACAGUAUCUUCGGAUGCCUGGCUGUUUUUCCCACUGUCAAUCUCUUGAGUAGAACUAACAGGUGAUUUCUUAGUUUCUGCAUCAUUAAAAAACACCUCUUCUCUAUAGGAAAUAUGAUUCUGAAACUUAACUGAUUUUCUUUUAUAUGUUUUUAGGCUGCAAACUUGAGAAAUUUUGUUGGUAGAAUCUUUAAAUGACAAGGUUUCAGAAUCUGACAGCCUUGGUUUUAUAAGAGAUUCUCUUUUAUCAGAUUUCUUCCGGGUGCGCUGCUCUCCUUUCUCAAAGGAAGAAUUGUUGAAUUGUGACACAGAAUCCACAAAAAAUUCUUUUACCUCUGGAUAUUGAGAAGCAUAAAAGUCUCUUAGCAUUUUCUGUCGUUCUUCUGAUGUGGCAUUGGUUAUAUGUUUAGCAAAUUCGUUUACAGAAGACGAGUUAAAAUAAGAGGCCAUUUCUUCAAAUUGUUUUCUAAAGAUUAAAUGAACAAAACUAGUGGUUAUUUUCAUUACAUUUUAUUUUGAAAGAACUCAUCACCAGUAAGAGGAAAUGUAGAGUCCACAGAAGGUAAUCUUGUUCCUUUAGCAUACGUCUGCUGAAUUCCACAAUGAAAACGCAUUUUAUCCUAGUAGAGUGAGGCCUCUACCCUUAUGCUACUGAGAAAAGUAUUUUAGCUCACAAAAUCACCAGCUUUGUAAGUUAUUUUGAUUUAUGCUAUUAUAUUAGGUAUUUCCUGGGAAUUAUGGAGGCCCAGCAUGCUACUCCUCCUUUGAGCCAAUUUAUGACUGACAUGAGGAUCAUGAUUUAUAGACUCUGUACUUGAAAAUCUAUAUUGUAUUCAAGUCUCAUGAAAUGAAAUUGUCAAAGAAUCUUAACGAAAAGAGCAAAUUCUGAAAAAUUAAGAAAGACAUUUUUUUCCCUUCCCUCUCCUUUUCCCCUUCUUUUACAAAUACAACAUAGAAAUCGCACAAGACUUUUUGAUGAGCCCAAAGGAAAGUUCUAAACUGAUAAACCUAGACUAUUUUUUCCCCAGUUGGCAUGGACACCUAAGCUAAGGAGUGAGAUGCUAUUAGAAGAAAUGUGUUGUAUUCUUAGUGUAAGAUACUAAUAAAAGCUGUUGUAUGCAUGUAUGAGGAAAUGGGCCUUCAAGAACCUUGGUAAGAUAGAGGCAGAAAGAUUUAGGGACCUGGGCAAUGAGCCCUGCUCCUUUCCCUAAAUGAGGGUGCCAUGGACUAAACUGUGCCCCUCCCCCAAAUCAUGCAGAAGCCCCCUAACCCAGGACGUAACAGUAUUUGGAGUUAGAGCCUUCAGGAGGUAAUUAAGGUUAAAUGAAGUCAUACGGGUGGGACCCUGAUCCAACAGGAUUAGUGUCCUUAGAAGAGAUGCCAGAGAACCCACACAGUUUCUUUCUCUUCUGUCUCUUCCUCUCUGCCAUGUAAGGAUACAGGGAGAUGGUGGCCACCUGCCAGCCAGGAAGAGGGCCCUCACCAGAAACUGAAUCAGCUAACUUCUUGUUGUUGGCCAUCCAGCCUCCAGAACUGUGGACACGAAUUUCUGUUGUUUAAGCCACCCAGUCUAUAGUAUUUUGUUAUGGCAAUCCAAGCAGACUAAGACAAUGGGUAUUGCUUUGCUGAUGAUGAGUUUGGGCCAUGAGAUAGAAC